CAGUAGCCACGGGAAUACGAGGGGGGCAAGCGUUGUUCGGAAUUAUUGGGCGUAAAGGGUGCGUAGGCGGCUUGACAAGUCUUGUGUGAAAUCUAUGGGCUCAACCCAUAGUCUGCACGGGAAACUGUCGGGCUUGAGAAUGGGAGAGGUGAGUGGAAUUUCCGGUGUAGCGGUGAAAUGCGUAGAUAUCGGAAGGAACACCUGUGGCGAAAGCGGCUUACUGGACCAUUUCUGACGCUGAUGCACGAAAGCUAGGGGAGCAAACAGGAUUAGAUACCCCCGUAGUCCCUGUCUCUUUAUA
rnacentral:rRNA from 1 species